rnacentral:rRNA from 1 species
AGUGAACGCUGGCGGUAGGCCUAACACAUGCAAGUCGAACGGCAGCACAGUAAGAGCUUGCUCUUACGGGUGGCGAGUGGCGGACGGGUGAGGAAUACAUCGGAAUCUACUUUUUCGUGGGGGAUAACGUAGGGAAACUUACGCUAAUACCGCAUACGACCUACGGGUGAAAGCAGGGGAUCUUCGGACCUUGCGCGAUUGAAUGAGCCGAUGUCGGAUUAGCCAGUUGGCGGGGUAACGGCCCACCAAGGCGACGAUCCGUAGCUGGUCUGUGAGGAUGAUCCGCCACACUGGAACUGAGACACAGUCCAGACUCCUACGGUAGGCAGCAGUGGGGAAUAUUGGACAAUGGCCGCAAGCCUGCUCCAGCAAUACCGCGUGAGUGAAGAAGGCCUUCGGGUUGUAAAGCCCUUUUGUUGGGACAGAAAAGCAGCAGGUUAAUACCCCGCUGUUCUGACGGUACCCAAAGAAUAAGCACCGGCUAACUUCGUG